UACGUAGGGUGCAAGCGUUGUCCGGAAUUAUUGGGCGUAAAGAGCUCGUAGGCGGUCCGUCACGUCGGCUGUGAAAACCUGGGGCUCAACUCCGGAUCUGCGGUGGGUACGGGCAGACUAGAGUGAUGUAGGGGAGACUGGAAUUCCUGGUGUAGCGGUGAAAUGCGCAGAUAUCAGGAGGAACACCGAUGGCGAAGGCAGGUCUCUGGGCAUUAACUGACGCUGAGGAGCGAAAGCAUGGGGAGCGAACAGG
rnacentral:rRNA from 1 species